GACGAACGCUGGCGGCGUGCUUAACACAUGCCAGUCGAACGGAAAGGCCCUGCUUUUGUGGGGUGCUCGAGUGGCGAACGGGUGAGUAACACGUGAGUAACCUGCCCUUGACUUUGGGAUAACUUCAGGAAACUGGGGCUAAUACCGGAUAGGAGCUCCUGCUGCAUGGUGGGGGUUGGAAAGUUUCGGCGGUUGGGGAUGGACUCGCGGCUUAUCAGCUUGUUGGUGGGGUAGUGGCUUACCAAGGCUUUGACGGGUAGCCGGCCUGAGAGGGUGACCGGCCGCAUUGGGACUGAGAUACGGCGCAGACUCCUACGGGAGGCAGCAGUGGGGAAUAUUGCACAAUGGGCGGAAGCCUGAUGCAGCAACGCCGCGUGCGGGAUGACGGCCUUCGGGUUGUAAACCGCUUUCGCCUGUGACGAAGCGUGAGUGACGGUAAUGGGUAAAGAAGCACCGGCUAACUACGUG
rnacentral:rRNA from 1 species